rfam:Trichosporon asahii var. asahii CBS 8904 unplaced genomic scaffold scaffold00167, whole genome shotgun sequence.
GGCGUUGUGGCGGAGUGGUUAACGCGGUUGACUAGAAUGGUCUCUCUGGCAACGGAGAGGGAUUCAGGAAUCAACUUCCUUCGGGAGCGCAUGUUCGAAUCAUGUCAACGUCG